rnacentral:rRNA from 1 species
UACGGUAGGGUGCUAGCGUUGUCCGGAUUUAUUGGGCGUAAAGGGCUCGUAGGCGGCUGUGUCGCGUCGGGAGUGAAAGCCCGCUGCUUAACGGCGGUUGGCUUCCGGUACGGGCAUCGCUGGAGUGCGGCAGGGGAGACUGGAAUUCCUGGUGUAGCGGUGGAAAUGCGCAGAUAUCAGGAGGAACACCGGUGGCGAAGGCGGGUCUCUGGGCCGUUACUGACGCUGGAGGAGCGAAAGCGUGGGGAGCGAACAGG